GCUGGCGGCAGGCUUAACACAUGCAAGUCGAGCGGUAGCAGAUCUAGCUUGCUAGAUGCUGACGAGCGGCGGACGGGUGAGUAACGCGUAGGAACCUGCCCAGUAGUGGGGGAUAGCCCGGGGAAACUCGGAUUAAUACCGCAUACGCUCUACGGAGGAAAGGGGGGGGCUUCGGCUCUCGCUAUUGGAUGGGCCUGCGUGAGAUUAGCUAGUUGGUGAGGUAAUGGCUCACCAAGGCGACGAUCUCUAGCUGGUCUGAGAGGAUGAUCAGCCACACUGGGACUGAGACGCGGCCCAGACUCCUACGGGAGGCAGCAGUGGGGAAUAUUGCACAAUGGGCGCAAGCCUGAUGCAGCCAUGCCGCGUGUGUGAAGAAGGCUUUCGGGUUGUAAAGCACUUUCAGUGGGGAGGAAGGCCUCGUAGUUAAUAGCUGCGAGGAUUGACGUUACCCACAGAAGAAGCACCGGCUAACUCCGUG
rnacentral:rRNA from 1 species